rnacentral:rRNA from 1 species
GAAAGCAUGGGUAGCGAAGAGGAUUAGAUACCCUCGUAGUCCAUGCCGUAAACGAUGUGUGUUAGACGUUGGAAAUUUAUUUUCAGUGUCGCAGCGAAAGCGAUAAACACACCGCCUGGGGAGUACGACCGCAAGGUUAAAACUCAAAUGAAUUGACGGGGACCCGCACAAGUAGUGGAGCAUGUGGUUUAAUUCGAAGAUACGCGCAGAACCUUACCAACACUUGACAUGUUCGUCGCGACUUUAAGAGAUUAAAGUUUUCGGUUCGGCCGGACGAAACACAGGUGCUGCAUGGCUGUCGUCAGCUCGUGUCGUGAGAUGUUGGGUUAAGUCCCGCAACGAGCGCAACCCUCACUUUUAGUUGCCAUCAUUAAGUUGGGCACUCUGAAAGAACUGCCAGUGAUAAGCUGGAGGAAGGUGGGGAUGACGUCAAGUCCUCAUGGCCCUUACGUGUUGGGCUACACACGUGCUACAAUGGUAUCUACAACAGGAAGCAAGACUGCGAAGUUAAGCAAAUCCUUAAAAGAUACCUCAGUUCGGAUUGCACUCUGCAACUCGAGUGCAUGAAGCUGGAAUUACUAGUAAUCGUGGAUCAGCGUGCCACGGUGAAUGCGUUCCCGGGUCUUGUACACACCGCCCGUCACACCAUGGGAGUUGGUUCUACCUUAAGGCAAGGUUUCAAACCCUUGACCACGGUAUAGUCAGCGACUGGGGUGAAGUCGUAACAAGGUAGCCGUAGGGGAACCUGCGGCUG